GUCCCGUUUCUUUGGAAACGGAACUUAGAGACAGGUGCUGCAUGGCUGUCGUCAGCUCGUGCCGUGAGGUGUUGGGUUAACGUCCCGCAACGAGCGCCAACCCUUAUUUUUAGUUGCCAUCAGGUUAAGCUGGGCACUCUAAAGAGACUGCCGUCGAUAAGGCGGAGGAAGGUGGGGACGACGUCAAGUCAUCAUGGCCCUUAUGUCUAGGGCUACACACGUGCUACAAUGGGUUAUACAGAGGGCAGCUAGCUCGCGAGAGUCUGCGAAUCCCUUAAAGUAAUCCUCAGUUCGGAUUGUAGUCUGCAACUCGACUACAUGAAGUUGGAAUCGCUAGUAAUCGCAGGUCAGCAAAACUGCGGUGAAUACGUUCCCGGGCCUU
rnacentral:rRNA from 1 species